UACGAAGGGGGCUAGCGUUGCUCGGAAUCACUGGGCGUAAAGGGUGCGUAGGCGGGUCUUUAAGUCAGGGGUGAAAUCCUGGAGCUCAACUCCAGAACUGCCUUUGAUACUGAGAAUCUUGAGUACGGGAGAGGUGAGUGGAACUGCGAGUGUAGAGGUGAAAUUCGUAGAUAUUCGCAAGAACACCAGUGGCGAAGGCGGCUCACUGGCCCGUAACUGACGCUGAGGCACGAAAGCGUGGGGAGCAAACAGG
rnacentral:rRNA from 1 species